UUCUACAUAAAAAUAAUAAUUAUGUGUGGGCCCUACUAAUUAUAAGCUUAAAAUAAAUUUAGGGUGGGUGUAAAUUUAAGAUUGAAUUUAGGUGAGUGUAAAUUUUUUGUGGGCCCCAUCCAAUUUAGGGGAUCUGCUGGAUGCAUUUUUUUUAUCUCAUUUUCAAUUGUUUUAGCCUAAAUUUAGAGUUAGUGAUGCAUUUAGGUGAUCUGCUG
rnacentral:lncRNA from 1 species